rnacentral:rRNA from 1 species
UACGUAGGGUGCAAGCGUUUAAUCGGAAUUACUGGGCGUAAAGCGUGCGCAGGCGGUUGUGCAAGACAGAUGUGAAAUCCCCGGGCUUAACCUGGGAAUUGCGAUGGAGACUGCAAGGCUGGAGUCUGGCAGAGGGGGGUAGAAUUCCACGUGUAGCAGUGAAAUGCGUAGAGAUGUGGAGGAACACCGAUGGCGAAGGCAGCCCCCUGGGUCAAGACUGACGCUCAUGCACGAAAGCGUGGGGAGCAAACAGG